CUCCCGCUGCGCUCCCCUCACAGGUGACUGAGACCUUCAACUGUUCUGGGGAGGGAGGAAGUCGCUGCCCGCGGAGAGAAAGGGGGCCGGGGACGUCAGUAUCCGGGGCUGAGGCCACGGCGGCUGAACACUGACCCUGAGGCCCGAAACUGACCGCAGCCAGCGAGGAGCGCCGGAGCAGCCAGGCAGCCCCGGAGGAGUUGAUGGAGGAGAGCUGGGAUGAGGACUGACGGCUCCCAAGACAGGAUGACAGACGCGGGCUGGUGGGGAACAGCCCUGGGAACCCCUAUGAGGGAACUGCGGACCCAGAGCAGAACUGCCGAUGAAACACAGGGUGAGAAAACAAAGCUUCCCGGGGGAAAAAAAGAAAUAAAAUUCCAGUGGCAUAUGAAAGAGUGGGUGUGUGUCUGGGGGAGGAGGUGGAACCUGGGGUUCCCUGAACCCGUUUCCUCAUUAGGGAAUGGGGUGAUCACCACUCAGCCCAUUUGUGAGCACCCACAACAUGCCAGAUGGUUUUGGGGUGCUGGGAUGCAGGCACCAAUCUUUUUGAGAUGGAGUCUUACUCUGUCACCCUAGCUGGAUGGGAUGCAGUGGCGCAAUCUUGGCUCACUGCAACCUCUGCCUCCCAGGUUCAGGCGAUUCUCUUGCCUCAGCCUCCCGAAUAGCUGGAAUUACAAUUUUUAGUAGAGACAGGGUUUCUCCAUGUUGGCCAGGCUGGUGUUGAACUCCUGACCUUAGGUGACCCACCUGCCUUUUCCUCCCAAAGUGCUGGGAUUACAGGUGUGAGCCUAGCCGAUUUUUGUAUUUUUUGUAGAGACAGGGUUUUGCCAUGUUGGCCAGGCUGGUCUCUAACUCAUGAUCUCAAGUGAUCUGCCCACCUUGACCUCCAGAAGUGCUGGGAUUACAGCCAAGAGCCAUCGCACCCAGCCUGGCCUCUGCCUUAAUAGCAUUCUUGCUGGACCUUAAAGCAGAAGACCUGAUGAAGCCACACCCAGCGCUGUUGUUUUUAAGUUGCUCAAUUUUGGUACAAUUUGUUAUGCAGCACCAGAAAACAGAGGGAGAGAUGGGCAAUAAACAGCCCCCAAGGCAUCCCCUCUGCACACCCUUAGAACUCACCUGCUUUAUUUUCAUCGUAGUCAUCACCACCUUUGGUAUGCAUUAAUUUAUUUGUAGAACUUAAUACAUAAAAGGUUUUUUUCUUUCUUUCUUUUGGAGGACCUAAAGAUUCAUGUACAUAAAAGUUUUUUUGGCUGGUGCAGCGGCUCACACUUGUAAUCCUAGCACUUUGGGAGGCCGAGGCAGGCGAAUCACUUGAGGUCAGGAGUUCGAGACUAACCGGGCAACAUGGCGAAACCCCGUCUCUUUAUUUUUAUAAAGUGCUGGGGUCAGUCAGAGGCAAGCCCGGUGGCUCCUGCCUGUGACCCCAGCACUUUGUAAAAAUACAAAAAUUAGCUGGGUGUGGUGGUGUGUGCCUGUAAUCCCAGCUACUCUGGAGGCUGAGGGAGGAGUUCACCUGAACCUGGGAGGUGGAGGUUGCAGUAAGCCAAGAUCAUCGUGCCAAUGCACUCCAGCCUGGGUGAUAGAGCGAGACUCUGUCAUUAAAAAAACAUUAAAAUAAGAGGGAGUGUCAGAAGUGGGAGCUCAACUUUGUUUCUGCCAAGUGCUCAGGGAACAUCUGAUAACACAGGUUCCUUCCUUCCCUCUGCCAACUCCUUGUGCUACCCCUUCCGAGGAGGGACUUCCCAGCCAGAGCUUUCCACUGAUAAAGCAGGCGAGUCCCACCCUUGUUGAGUAUGUAGAGCUCAGCCCCUUUGAAGGCAAACUUCAAUAUCUUUUUAAAAAAAUAUUAAUUAUUUUUUGAGAUGGACUCUCACUCUAUUGCCCAGGCUGGAGUGCAGUGGCGUGAUUUCAGCUCACUGUAACUCCUACCUCCCAGAUUCAAGGGAUUCUCCUGCCUCAGCCUACCGAGUACUGGGAUUGCAGGUGCCCACCAUCACACACAACUAAUUUUUGUAUUUUUAGUAGAGAUGAGGUUUCACCAUGUUGGCCAGGCUGGUCUUGAACUCUUUACUUCAGGUGAUCCACACACCUUGGCUUCCCAAAGUGCUGGGAUUACAGGCAUGAGCCAUUGUGCCUGGCCUGUAGAAUGUUCUAAAAAGAACAAUAUUAACCUUCUUUGAGUCAGCAGUUCCAUUUCUGGCUGUGUGUUCUGAAGAGGUAUUUUCCCACAUUCAUAAGGAAACACCAAUGAGAAGGUUUGUUGUGACACUUUGUUUAGCAGCAAAAUUAUGGGGAAUGAACCCAAUGUCCCCGGUAGGGGAAGGCAGAACUCUGGCAUAAAUAAUGGAAUGGUAUGCUGUGCUUCAAAAGCCCAGACCCCAGCUGGAUGUGGUGGCUUAUGCCUGGAAUCCCAGCACUUUGGGAGGCCAAGGCAGGAGGAUUGUUUGAGGCCAGGAGUUUGAGACCAGCCUGAGCAACAUAUUGAGACUCUUUCUUUACCAAAAAAAAAAAAGAAAAUUAGACAGGUGUGGUGGCUCUGCCUCUAGUCCCAGCUACUUGGGAGGCUGAGGGGGGAGGAUCAUUUGAGCCCAGGAGAUUGAGGCUGAAGUGAGCUGUGACUGAAUCACUGCACUCUAGCCUUGGUGAGAGAGCAAGAUCCUGCCUGAAAGGGGGAAAAAAAAAAAAAGCCUGGUUCAGAACAGAAGCUGUGGCAUGUGCCUAUAAUGCCAGGACUUUGGGGGCUAAGGCAGGAAGGCUGGCUGAAGACAGGAGGUUGAGUCCAGACUGGACAACAUGGGCAGACCCUGUUUCUCAAUUGGUUUGGUUUUUUUGAGGCAGAGUCUUGCUCCGUCACCCAGGCUGGAGUGCAGUGGCUUGAUCUCGGCUCACUGCAACCUCAGCCUUCCGGGUUCAAGUGAUUCUCCUGCCUCAGUCUCCUGAGUAGCUCUGACUACAGGCACGCACCACCAUGCCCAACUAGUUUGUUGUAUUUUUAGUAGACACAGGGUUUCACCAUGUUGGUCAGGCUUGUCUCGAACUUCUGACCUCAUGAUCCACCUGCCUGGACCUCCCAAAGUGCUGGGAUUACUGGCGUGAGCCACUGCAUGGGGCCUCAAUUUGCUUUUUUUAAAGAAAGAAAGAAAAAAGAAGAAGAGAAAAGAAAAAAGGCCUAGACCGUAAGCCUGGGCACACUCAGGCGAUAACUAAGUCUAAAAAUCUGGGUCAGGCCCAGUGGCUCCUGCCUGUGUGAGGCCGAACACUUUGUGAGGCUGAGGCAGGAGAAUCGCUUGAGCCCAUUAAUUCAAGAUCACCCUGAGCAACAUGGUGAAACCCAGUCUCUCCUAAAUAUAUAAAAUUUAGCCAGGAAUGGUGGCACACACCUGAGGUCCCAGAUGAGACCUGGUGAGGCUGAGGUGGGUCCAGGGAGGAUUACCUGAGCCUGGGAGUUCAAGGCUGCAGUGAGCAGAGAAUGUGCUACUGCACUCCAACCUGGGCAACAGAAUGAGAUCCUGUCUCAAAAAAAAAAAAAAAAGACCCUCUGUGGGCUGGGUGUGGUGGAU
rnacentral:lncRNA from 1 species